GGCACUAGCCUUGAGCCGUUCUCUGCCCCGUUUGUCGACGAAGAAAAUCUAUGAGUUUUGUAUCUUCUUCAACCUCACAGUAAAGCCCAUUGACAAGGCCCAUUAAUGCGAGUCGUCAGCCGUUCUCUGCCCUGUUUCUGAACGAAGAAGAUCGAUGAGUUUUUUCUGUAACUUCUUCAUCGUCAGCCGUCGCUCAUCUGUCGCUUUC